ACAAACAAGAUUUAUGACCAAUGCGGCCUCCAUUUUUCGCUAAAAUCAGCGCAACUGAGAAAAUUUUGAAGCUGGUCAGGCAUUUCGGCGCAGCGUGGCGCAAUUUUAACAGAUUUCACGGUUUUGGCUCAGCUUGGCGCAAAAAUAAGCAAUUGUAUCAAAUUGGUGCAAUUGGCGCAGCUGUUGCAUCCCUGUGUCAUCCACCAAUCAAUCACAAAUGACACCAAUAAAAUGCACAAGACAAUCUCAACAGAGGCUGAUGAUGAUGUAUGGGGUUUUAUGGCGUAAGGGCCACUGAUGGCCAAAGAGCACCAUUACUAAUGAUGGGAUGUUUAGACUUGUCAGUGAUUUGCAUUGUCAUGAUGUAGGAUGGCUGUAAAGGGGCCUUAAAAAGACGCGCUCUGUGCAAGCGUAAAAAAUACAUACACAGUAAAAUUAUGGUGAUGGUGUAUGGAAUGGUCUAUGGUUAUUUAAUAAAUGAUGAGCAAUCAUAAUUGCGGAAGGUGAGAAGCGGUGACUAGCACGUGUGCCUCCUCACUUCCUUUGCAUCCAAAGGCAUGGAGGCCAGUGCUUUUCUUUGAAAGAACUACCGCAGCAGCGGCCUCUCUGGAGAAGCUGUGCUGCGGUUCCCUGGGUAAAUAACAUUAAAACUAUGUAUAUCUCUGAAAUAAUGGAAGAGUGAGUCAUGGUUAAAUAUAGGUUCCCUGCCUAUGAACAUUGAAGGGGGAAGUGGAAGAUGUUGGCAGUAUGAUGGGAAAUGUUUUUCUCUAUCUUCUAGAUGCGUGCAUUGAAGCAGGAUGUGCAGGACAGUAAGUGGUGCACCGCAUUUUUAACACAUGGGUGGGUCACCAUCGCACAAAAGGUGUGCGUGUGUACUAUAUGUAUGUCCUAUUCUAAUGUGGAAUGUGGUAGGGUGAACUCUGCCCCUAGCAUAAUUUAGCAAUGCAGUUUUUGAAUCACUUGAGGAUGUAGGUAGCAUUGGAACUGCAGAGCGCUAGCGCAAUAGCGAUCUCUUCCGCUUCUUCUGGUUUUGUUCCCUGUGGUAAUUCUUUUAUUAAUGGAGGGGUGUCAGAGUUCACCCUACCACAUUCCACAUGCUAACCCAGAAUCACCCUUCCUCACGCAGCGCUGAGCUCAUCUGGGUGCCCGCGCAUUCGGGAAACCCUGGCAAUGAGGCCGCCGAUUCUUUAGCCCAAGGGUCGAGAAACCAGGCACAGACCUGCACCGAUC
rnacentral:lncRNA from 1 species